GACGAACGCUGGCGGCGUGCUUAAUACAUGCAAGUCAACUGAACUUAAGGUAGCAAUAUUUUAAGGGAGGUGGCGCACGGGUGAGUAACACGUAGGUAAUCUGCCUUUAGGUCUGACACAACCUACCGAAAGGUAGGCUAAUAUCAGAUGAUGCAGCGGCUCGACAUCGAGACAGUUGUUAAACCUUCGGGGCCUAAAGAUGAGCCUGCGUCUGAUUAGGUAGUUGGCGGAGUAAUAGCCCACCAAGCCUGCGAUCAGUAGCUGGUCUGAGAGGAUGAUCAGCCACACUGGAACUGAGACACGGUCCAGACUCCUACGGGAGGCAGCAGUGGGGAAUAUUGGGCAAUGGGCGAAAGCCUGACCCAGCGACGCCGCGUGAAGGAUGAAGGUCUUCGGGAUUGUAAACUUCUUUGAUCAGGGAAGAAAGAAAUGACGGUACCUGAAGAACAAGCCACGGCUAACUACGUGCCAGCAGCCGACGGUAAUCACG
rnacentral:rRNA from 1 species